rnacentral:rRNA from 1 species
AAACUUUGAUAGAAACUUACAACACCUAUCCGCCUGGGAACUACGAGCGCUAGCUUAAAACCCAAAGGACUUGGCGGUGCUUCAGACCCCCCUAGAGGAGCCUGUCCUAGAACCGAUGAUCCCCGUUCAACCUCACCAUUUCUUGUUCAUUCCGCCUAUAUACCGCCGUCGCCAGCCUACCCUCUAAGGGACCCAAAGUAGGCAAAAUAAAUACUUCUUAAAACGUCAGGUCGAGGUGUAGCGAAUGAAAUGGGAAGAGAUGGGCUACAUUCUCUAGACCAGAGAAUUACGAAAGAGGUUUUGAAAUAAACCCCAGAAGGAGGAUUUAGCAGUAAGCACAAAAAUAGAGAGCUUG